rnacentral:rRNA from 1 species
AUUGAACGCUGGCGGCAGGCCUAACACAUGCAAGUCGAGCGGAGCGGCGGACGGGUGAGUAAUGCCUAGGAAUCUGCCUGGUAGUGGGGGAUAACGUCCGGAAACGGGCGCUAAUACCGCAUCAUAUCAGAUGAGCCUAGGUCGGAUUAGCUAGGUGGGGGGGUAAAGGCCUACCAAGGCGACGAUCCGUAACUGUUCUGAGAGGAUGAUCAGUCACACUGGAACGGAGACACGGUCCAGACUCCUACGGGAGGCAGCAGUGGUGAAUAUUGGACAAUGGGCGCAAGCCUGAUGCAGCCAUGCCGCGUGUAUGAAGAAGGCCUUCGGGUUGUAAAGUACUUUCAUUCGGGAGGCGGUACCGACAGAAGAAGCACCGGCUAACUCCGUGCCAGCCGCCGCGGUAAUAC